ACCUAAUGGAAAAAAUUGUUAAAUGACAAACAAAAUCCACACACAAAAAACAACUUACCUGGAUUUGGAAAUUGAUAUUCCGUCGACAUAUUGAUGGUCGUGCACGUCCUUGUGAAUCCAAAUAAAUGGUGGUAACUGUAAAUGAUCACCAAUCAUAAUCCAACGUUUUAAACGAUUAUGACCAAGAUCGGGAUUUUGUAAUAAUAAUGGUAUGAAUGU